rnacentral:rRNA from 1 species
CCUACGGGGGGCAGCAGUGAGGAAUAUUGGUCAAUGGACGAGAGUCUGAACCAGCCAAGUAGCGUGAAGGAUGACUGCCCUAUGGGUUGUAAACUUCUUUUAUAAAGGAAUAAAACGAGGCACGUGUGCCUUUUUGCAUGUACUUUAUGAAUAAGGAUCCGCUAACUCCGUGCCAGCAGCCGCGGUAAUACGGAGGAUCCGAGCGUUAUCCGGAUUUAUUGGGUUUAAAGGGAGCGUAGAUGGGUUGUUAAGUCAGUUGUAAAAGUUUGCGGCUCAACCGUAAAAUUGCAAUUGAUACUGGCAGUCUUGAGUACAGUUGAGGUAGGCGGAAUUCGUGGUGUAGCGGUGAAAUGCUUAGAUAUCACGAAGAACCCCGAUUGCGAAGGCAGCUUACUAAACUGUGACUGACAUUGAUGCUCGAAAGUGUGGGUAUCAAACAGGAUUAGAUACCCUUGAGUC